GGAUACUGUUACACGUGAAGACUCGUAUUAGGUAUCUGUUUUUCAUAAAACUUAAGACAAUAUGUGGAAGACCUAUGUGCAUUUUAGUCAGCCCAUGUACGAUAUGGCUGUUUUAAUAAGUUGUUUUGAAAUAAAUGGAAACCAUACUAUUUAUGAAAAUUAAUCAUAUAAAGACAUGCCGCUAGAUCCACCCUAUGUCAUCACUAAGUCAUUAGUCAUUAGUAUGCAACUUGUGGAAAGCAUCAAUUUGAAAACUUUUGUGAUCAGGGCUCUGUGGUAUCUGCAGCAUAACAGGUUUGUAAUGCAGAGUCUUAGUUAUUUAUUUUAUAUUUUUUAUUUUAUUAAUUCUAAGUGCAAAAUGUGGACUCAAUUAGACAGCCUCUUAGACUAUAUGAAAAUAUAAAUGUUGACUAAAUCUUUUGCGAUCGUUCUUGUUUAUUUCUUGUUUUUCACUGUUUACAAUCAUUAUGGCUUUGCUGCUGCUAUAAUUUUGUGUAACAUGCAGUGCUACAAAGAAAGCAUGUAUUGCCUUGUUCUAGUUACCUUAUGAGCAUUAAAGGUGGUUUCUUCAACUUGAAUGGAGAAGUCUGUUGGAAUCUGAGAAGUGAUAAACCUGAAAGGGAACACAAUAGUGAUGAGGUGCAGUAAAGAACACAAGAAUUACAGGCUGUGUACCAGGAGGGUUCCUUUCUUUCCAAACCAUCACUGAUAUUGGUGAUGAACUUGGAGGGCAGGACUAUUCUCUGCUCGCGAACUUGAUCAUUCUCAUCGAAAUCAUUCCCCGAGCUUGGUGGAUGAGUCAUAGUCUUCUUCAUCAUGAUUGGUCUCUUGCUGGAGGCAUGUUUUGUUAUGUCCUUUUUAAACUAUUGACUAAAUAAUUCAGGUGCAGAUGGUAAGAUACUCCAAACUCUUUUAUUGU